rnacentral:rRNA from 2 species
UGGGGAAUAUUGGGCAAUGGGGGCAACCCUGACCCAGCGACGCCGCGUGAGGGAAGACGGCCUUCGGGUUGUAAACCUCUUUUGUACGGGAAGAAGGAAGUGACGGUACUGUACGAAUAAGUCCCGGCUAACUACGUGCCAGCAGCCGCGGUAAUACGUAGGGGACGAGCGUUGUCCGGAAUUACUGGGCGUAAAGGGCGCGCAGGCUGUGCUGCAAGUCAGCUGUGAAAUGUCUGGGCUUAACCCGGGCAUGCGGUUGAGACUGCAGUGCUGGAGUGCUGUAGAGGCAAGUGGAAUUCCCAGUGUAGCGGUGAAAUGCGUAGAUAUUGGGAAGAACACCGGUGGCGAAGGCGACUUGCUGGGCAGCAACUGACGCUGAGGCGCGAAAGCCAGGGGAGCAAACGGG